rnacentral:rRNA from 1 species
UACGGGGGGAGCAAGCGUUGUUCGGAUUUACUGGGCGUAAAGAGCGUGUAGGCGGCUCGGUAAGUCCGCUGUAAAAGUCAAAGGCUCAACCUUUGAAUGUCAGUGGAUACUGCCGGGCUAGAGUCCGGAAGAGGCGAGUGGAACUCCUGGUGUAGCGGUGGAAUGCGCAGAUAUCAGGAAGAACACCGACGGCGAAGGCAGCUCGCUGGGACGGUACUGACGCUGAGACGCGAAAGCGUGGGGAGCGAACAGG